UACGUAGGGGGCGAGCGUUGUCCGGAUUUACUGGGCGUAAAGAGCGCGUAGGCGGCGAUCUAAGCGUGGCCUGAAAGCCCCCGGCUCAACCGGGGAGUGCGGCUGCGAACUGGGUUUCUUGAGGACGAUAGAGGAGAGUGGAAUUCCUGGUGUAGCGGUGAAAUGCGUAGAUAUCAGGAGGAACACCCGAGGCGAAGGCGGCUCUCUGGGUCGUACCUGACGCUGAGGCGCGAAAGCGUGGGGAGCGAACGGG
rnacentral:rRNA from 1 species